AGGGUGACGGCGUACCUUUUGUAUAAUGGGUCAACGACUUAGUGUAACAAGCAAGCUUAAGCCGGUAGGUGUAGGCGAAGCGAAAGCGAGUCUGAAUAGGGCGAUAUAGUUUGUUGCAUUAGACCCGAAACCGAGUGAUCUAGCCAUGAGCAGGUUGAAGGUUGGGUAACACCAACUGGAGGACCGAACCCGCAUCUGUUGCAAUAGAUUGGGAUGACUUGUGGCUAGGGGUGAAAGGCCAAUCAAACUCGGAAAUAGCUGGUUCUCCGCGAAAUCUAUUUAGGUAGAGCGUCGAGCGAAUACCCCCGGGGGUAGAGCACUGGAUGGGCUAUGGGGACUCACCGUCUUACUGAUCCUAACCAAACUCCGAAUACCGGGGAGUACUACUCGGCAGACACACGGCGGGUGCUAACGUCCGUCGUGAAAAGGGCAACAACCCUAACCUCCAGCUAAGGUCCCCAAGUCAUGGCUAAGUGGGAAAGGAUGUGAGGAUCCCAAAACAACCAGGAUGUUGGCUUAGAAGCAGCCAUCAUUUAAAGAAAGCGUAACAGCUCACUGGUCUAAAUAAGGGUCUUUGCGCCGAAAAUGUAACGGGGCUGAAGCCAUGCACCGAAGCUGAGGAUUUGCAGUAAUGCAAGUGGUAGCGGAGCGUUCCGUAAGCUGAUGAAGGGAGACCCGUGAGGGCUCCUGGAGGUAUCGGAAGUGCGAAUGUUGACAUGAGUAACGAUAAAGAGGGUGAGAGACCCUCUCGCCGAAAGACCAAGGGUUCCUGCUUAAAGUUAAUCUGAGCAGGGUUAGCCGGCCCCUAAGGCGAGGCAGAAAUGCGUAGUCGAUGGGAACCACGUUAAUAUUCGUGGGCCUGGUGGUAGUGACGGAUUGCACAAGUUGUUCUGGUUUAUUGGAUUAUCAGGGCAGCGGAGCGGUUCCAGGAAAUAGCUCCACCGUAUAGACCGUACCCGAAACCGACACAGGUGGUCAGGUAGAGUAUACCAAGGCGCUUGAGAGAACUAUGUUGAAGGAACUCGGCAAAUUGCACGCGUAACUUCGGAAGAAGCGUGACCCCAAUCUACGCAAGUAUUUUGGGGUGGCACAGACCAGGGGGUAGCGACUGUUUAUCAAAAACACAGGGCUCUGCGAAGUCGCAAGACGACGUAUAGGGUCUGACGCCUGCCCGGUGCUGGAAGGUUAAGAGGAGAGGUGCAAGCUUUGAAUCGAAGCCCCAGUAAACGGCGGCCGUAACUAUAACGGUCCUAAGGUAGCGAAAUUCCUUGUCGGGUAAGUUCCGACCUGCACGAAUGGCGUAACGACUUCCCCGCUGUCUCCAACAUAGACUCAGUGAAAUUGAAUUCCCCGUGAAGAUGCGGGGUUCCUGCGGUCAGACGGAAAGACCCCGUGCACCUUUACUAUAGCUUUACACUGGCAUUCGUGUCGGCAUGUGUAGGAUAGGUGGUAGGCUUUGAAGCGGGGACGCCAGUUUCCGUGGAGCCAUCCUUGAAAUACCACCCUUAUCGUCAUGGAUGUCUAACCGCGGCCCGUCAUCCGGGUCCGGGACAGUGUAUGGUGGGUAGUUUGACUGGGGCGGUCGCCUCCGAAAGAGUAACGGAGGCGCGCGAUGGUGGGCUCAGACCGGUCGGAAAUCGGUCGUCGAGUGCAAUGGCAUAAGCCCGCCUGACUGCGAGACUGACAAGUCGAGCAGAGACGAAAGUCGGUCAUAGUGAUCCGGUGGUCCCGUGUGGAAGGGCCAUCGCUCAACGGAUAAAAGGUACGCCGGGGAUAACAGGCUGAUGACCCCCAAGAGUCCAUAUCGACGGGGUUGUUUGGCACCUCGAUGUCGGCUCAUCGCAUCCUGGGGCUGGAGCAGGUCCCAAGGGUUUGGCUGUUCGCCAAUUAAAGCGGUACGUGAGCUGGGUUCAGAACGUCGUGAGACAGUUCGGUCCCUAUCUGCCGUGGGUGUAGGAAUAUUGACAGGAUCUGUCCCUAGUACGAGAGGACCGGGAUGGACAUAUCUCUGGUGGACCUGUUGUCCUGCCAAGGGCAUAGCAGGGUAGCUAUAUAUGGACGGGAUAACCGCUGAAGGCAUCUAAGCGGGAAACCCACCUGAAAACGAGU
rnacentral:rRNA from 1 species